CUCUAUACGGAGUUACAAAGGACGACAUUAGACGAAUCAUCUGGAAAGAUGAAUCAAAGAAGGUAAUAAUCCUGUAGUCGAAAAUGUUGUCUCUCUUGAGUGGAUCCUGAGUACGACGGAGCACGUGAAAUUCCGUCGGAAUCUGGGAGGACCAUCUCCUAAGGCUAAAUACUCUCUAGUGACCGAUAGUGAACCAGUACCGUGAGGGAAAGGUGAAAAGCACCCCGGAAGGGGAGUGAAAUAGAACCUGAAACCGUGUGCUUACAAGUAGUCAGAGCCCGUUAAUGGGUGAUGGCGUGCCUUUUGUAGAAUGAACCGGCGAGUUACGAUUUGAUGCAAGGUUAAGCAGUAAAUGUGGAGCCGUAGCGAAAGCGAGUCUGAAUAGGGCGUUUAGUAUUUGGUCGUAGACCCGAAACCAGGUGAUCUACCCUUGGUCAGGUUGAAGUUCAGGUAACACUGAAUGGAGGACCGAACCGACUUACGUUGAAAAGUGAGCGGAUGAACUGAGGGUAGCGGAGAAAUUCCAAUCGAACCUGGAGAUAGCUGGUUCUCUCCGAAAUAGCUUUAGGGCUAGCCUCAAGUGAUGAUUAUUGGAGGUAGAGCACUGUUUGGACGAGGGGCCCCUCUCGGGUUACCGAAUUCAGACAAACUCCGAAUGCCAAUUAAUUUAACUUGGGAGUCAGAACAUGGGUGAUAAGGUCCGUGUUCGAAAGGGAAACAGCCCAGACCACCAGCUAAGGUCCCAAAAUAUAUGUUAAGUGGAAAAGGAUGUGGCGUUGCCCAGACAACUAGGAUGUUGGCUUAGAAGCAGCCAUCAUUUAAAGAGUGCGUAAUAGCUCACUAGUCGAGUGACACUGCGCCGAAAAUGUACCGGGGCUAAACAUAUUACCGAAGCUGUGGAUUGUCCUUUGGACAAUGGUAGGAGAGCGUUCUAAGGGCGUUGAAGCAUGAUCGUAAGGACAUGUGGAGCGCUUAGAAGUGAGAAUGCCGGUGUGAGUAGCGAAAGACGGGUGAGAAUCCCGUCCACCGAUUGACUAAGGUUUCCAGAGGAAGGCUCGUCCGCUCUGGGUUAGUCGGGUCCUAAGCUGAGGCCGACAGGCGUAGGCGAUGGAUAACAGGUUGAUAUUCCUGUACCACCUAUAAUCGUUUUAAUCGAUGGGGGGACGCAGUAGGAUAGGCGAAGCGUGCGAUUGGAUUGCACGUCUAAGCAGUAAGGCUGAGUAUUAGGCAAAUCCGGUACUCGUUAAGGCUGAGCUGUGAUGGGGAGAAGACAUUGUGUCUUCGAGUCGUUGAUUUCACACUGCCGAGAAAAGCCUCUAGAUAGAAAAUAGGUGCCCGUACCGCAAACCGACACAGGUAGUCAAGAUGAGAAUUCUAAGGUGAGCGAGCGAACUCUCGUUAAGGAACUCGGCAAAAUGACCCCGUAACUUCGGGAGAAGGGGUGCUCUUUAGGGUUAACGCCCAGAAGAGCCGCAGUGAAUAGGCCCAAGCGACUGUUUAUCAAAAACACAGGUCUCUGCUAAACCGUAAGGUGAUGUAUAGGGGCUGACGCCUGCCCGGUGCUGGAAGGUUAAGAGGAGUGGUUAGCUUCUGCGAAGCUACGAAUCGAAGCCCCAGUAAACGGCGGCCGUAACUAUAACGG
rnacentral:rRNA from 1 species